AACGAACGCUGGCGGCAGGCCUAACACAUGCAAGUCGAGCGCCCCGCAAGGGGAGCGGCAGACGGGUGAGUAACGCGUGGGAAUCUACCCAUCUCUACGGAAUAACGCAUGGAAACGUGUGCUAAUACCGUAUACGUCCUUCGGGAGAAAGAUUUAUCGGAGAUGGAUGAGCCCGCGUUGGAUUAGCUAGUUGGUGGGGUAAAGGCCUACCGAGGCGACGAUCCAUAGCUGGUCUGAGAGGAUGAUCAGCCACACUGGGACUGAGACACGGCCCAGACUCCUACGGGAGGCAGCAGUGGGGAAUAUUGGACAAUGGGCGCAAGCCUGAUCCAGCCAUGCCGCGUGAGUGAUGAAGGCCCUAGGGUUGUAAAGCUCUUUCACCGGUGAAGAUAAUGACGGUAACCGGAGAAGAAGCCCCGGCUAACUUCGUGCCAGCCGCCGCGGUAAUAC
rnacentral:rRNA from 1 species